UACGUAGGGGGCGAGCGUUACCCGGAUUUACUGGGCGUAAAGCGCACGUAGGCGGUCUUUUAAGUCGGGGGUGAAAUCCUGGAGCUCAACUCCAGAACUGCCUUCGAUACUGGAAGACUCGAGUCCGGGAGAGGUGAGUGGAACUGCGAGUGUAGAGGUGAAAUUCGUAGAUAUUCGCAAGAACACCAGUGGCGAAGGCGGACUCACUGGACCACAACUGACGCUGAGGCGCGAAAGCUAGGGGAGCAAACAGGGAUUAAGAAACCCUGA
rnacentral:rRNA from 1 species